rnacentral:rRNA from 1 species
GACGAACGCUGGCGGCGUGCUUAACACAUGCAAGUCGAACGGAAAGGCCUCUUUCGGGGGGUACUCGAGUGGCGAACGGGUGGGUAACACGUGAGUAACCUGCCCUUGACUUUGGGAUAACUUCAGGAAACUGGGGCUAAUACCGGAUAGGAGCUCCUGCUGCAUGGUGGGGGUUGGAAAGUUUCGGCGGUUGGGGAUGGACUCGCGGCUUAUCAGCUUGUUGGUGGGGUAGUGGCUUACCAAGGCUUUGACGGGUAGCCGGCCUGAGGGGGUGACCGGCCACAUUGGGACUGAGAUACGGCCCAGACUCCUACGGGAGGCAGCAGUGGGGAAUAUUGCACAAUGGGUGGAAGCCUGAUGCAGCAACGCCGUGUGCGGGAUGACGGCCUUCGGGUUGUAAACCGCUUUCGCUCAUGACGAAGCUUUGUGUGACGGUAGUGGGUAAAGAAGCACCGGCUAACUACGUG